GUGGGGAAUAUUGGGCAAUGGGCGAAAGCCUGACCCAGCAACGCCGCGUGAAGGAAGAUGGUCUUCGGAUCGUAAACUUCUAUCCUUGGUGAAGAUAAUGACGGUAGCCGAGAAGGAAGCCCCGGCUAACUACGUGCCAGCAGCCGCGGUAAUACGUAGGGGGCAAGCGUUGUCCGGAAUGAUUGGGCGUAAAGGGCGCGUAGGCGGCCUGGUAAGUCUGGAGUGAAAGUCCUGCUUUUAAGGUGGGAAUUGCUUUGGAUACUGUCGGGCUUGAGUGCAGGAGAGGUAAGCGGAAUUCCCGGUGUAGCGGUGAAAUGCGUAGAGAUCGGGAGGAACACCAGUGGCGAAGGCGGCUUACUGGACUGUAACUGACGCUGAGGCGCGAAAGUGUGGGGAGCAAACAGGAUUAGAAACCCGAGUAGUCC
rnacentral:rRNA from 1 species